rnacentral:lncRNA from 1 species
GCUGUGUUGUCCACAUGUUAGACUUGAAAAAUCGCCACAUAUGAGGAUACAUGUUGAGAAUGAAUCACAUACUGAUGAGAGGAUGGACCUUGCAUGGGCUUAUAAGAGGUUGGGUUACUUCCCAUACUGCCAAUUAAUUUUAUCAUGAAAUCUCAACUCUCUUCAAUAAAGUUAAGAAUAAUACCUAUUAUUGCUCAAAAAGAAUGAAAUACAAUGACAAAUAAUCUCUUUGGAAAAGAAAUGAUAGAUAACCUCUUUAGACCAUCUCCAAUGGUUUGGCUAAAAACCAAAUAUUUUAGCUUGGAAAAUUUAGUCUUUAGCCCAAAAACAGUUUUUCUACUCCAACC